UACGGGGGGGGCAAGCGUUGUUCGGAAUUACUGGGCGUAAAGGGCUCGUAGGCGGCCAACUAAGUCAGACGUGAAAUCCCUCGGCUUAACCGGGGAACUGCGUCUGAUACUGGAUGGCUUGAGUUUGGGAGAGGGAUGCGGAAUUCCUGGUGUAGCGGUGAAAUGCGCAGAUAUCAGGAGGAACACCGGUGGCGAAAGGCGGGUCUC
rnacentral:rRNA from 1 species